GAUGAACGCUAGCGGCAGGCUUAACACAUGCAAGUCGAGGGGCAGCGCGUUGUAGCAAUACAAUGGCGGCGACCGGCGAAAGGGUGAGUAACGCGUGAGCAACAUGCCCGUAAGUGGGGGAUAGUCGAUGGAAACGUCGCGUAAUACCCCGUAACAACAGAGGCCGCAUGACCUUUGUUUGAUAGAUUUAUUGCUUACGGAUUGGCUCGCGUCCCAUUAGGCAGUUGGCGGGGUAACGGCCCACCAAACCGACGAUGGGUAGGGGUUCUGAGAGGAAGGUCCCCCACAUUGGAACUGAGACACGGUCCAGACUCC
rnacentral:rRNA from 1 species